AACGAACGCUGGCGGCGUGUUUAAGACAUGCAAGUCGCACGGUAUAAGACAUGUAGUAAUACUUGUUUUAUUUAGUGGCGCACGGGUGAGUAACACGUGAAUUACAUGCCCUAUAGUGGGGAAUAGCCCAGGGAAACUUGGAUUAAUACCCCAUGGUAUCGAAAGAUUAAAGGUGGCCGCAAGGCUGUCGCUAUAGGAUUGGUUCGCGCCCUAUCAGCUUGUUGGUGAGGUAACGGCUCACCAAGGCAAUGACGGGUACCUGGUCUGAGAGGACGAUCAGGCACACUGGAACUGAGAAACGGUCCAGACACCUACGGGUGGCAACAGUCGAGAAUAAUUCACAAUGGGGGCAACCCUGAUGGUGCAACGCCGCGUGGAGGAUGACGGUCUUCGGAUUGUAAACUCCUGUCAUCUGGGAGAAAGGCCUGACGGUAAAUAGCCGGCAGGGUUGAUAGUACCAGAAGAGGAAGGGACGGCUAACUUCGUGCCAGCCGCCGCCGUAA
rnacentral:rRNA from 1 species